UAAAAAAAAUUAAAAAAAAAAAUUCGUUCCCUUAUGUAAUCAAGCAUGAUAAUACCAAGUUGUGAAUAUUAUUUAGAAAUCCGUUUAUCAGAAGCAUCAAAUUAUAAAGACUACAGCAUUCAAGCAAAACCAAAACUGAAUUAAUAAAAUCUGUUCUCAUCGAGAAAAGAAAUCAUGAUAUUCACAGUACCAAACAAAGAAUUUCAAUAGCGGUAAUUACAAGAGGAACAAAAAG
rnacentral:misc_RNA from 1 species